rnacentral:rRNA from 1 species
UACGGGGGGGUGCGAGCGUUGUCCGGAAUCACUGGGCGUAAAGGGCGCGUAGGUGGCGUGAUAAGGGUGUGGUGAAAGCCCGGGGCUCAACCCCGGGUCGGCCAUGCCGACUGUCAGGCUCGAGUGCUGUAGGGGCAGGCGGAAUUCCGAGUGUAGAGGUGAAAUUCGUAGAUAUUCGGAGGAACACCAGUGGCGAAGGCGACUGCCUGGACGAACAUUGACGCUGAGGUGCGAAAGCGUGGGGAGCAAACAGG